AUGCAACACUUUGAGGACAGAACAGGCAAGCUGUCUAACUCCCCUCUCAUUGAAGCUGCUAGUUUGUCGAUAUUGACCAAAGUAUCAUUGGUUAUUUCUGCCAUCUAUUCACCUCACUGCUUCAACUAUUUCAACACUUGUAAAUCUGCAGGUAAAUUAAGAAAGAACAGCUAAAUAUUCCGUUAUCUCUCGACAUUAAUGUUUCUCUUUCAGGGCCUGCAAGGAAAAUCCAGUAAAUUGACAAGGUGGGAGUAAUAGUAAAUAACAGUUAUGCUGGAGGAAACUUUCUGCUGUGCAUAACUUUACUUUUUCCAGAACCAUGAAUGGUCAAGUCGAGUAUAAGCACACGGAAAAGAAAACAUCUUGAAGGCAUACAGAACAAGAUACAGAUCCAAUCUUCAAAUAUAAAGGAAAAGCCAAAGCACAAUUAUGCACACCAAUCUUCCUUACCUACAAAGUGGGGUGAGAUCCUACUUGCGUACCUGGAACUCUUGACUCAAGCCCUUGAGGAGGUAGCUAGCUCUUUUCUACUAGAUUUCUGCUAGUCAAUGGCUCCAUUUUCCAAUUCUCAAUGCAUUAUGAGAGAGAGCUCUACUUGACCUCGCAAGUCUUUCUUUAUGCCCUAUCGCUAUUGAUUUUGCUACUCGCAAGUCUCUCCCAAUGCAUUAUGAGAGAGAGCUCUACUUGACCUCGCAAGUCUUUCUUUAUGCCCUAUCGCUAUUGAUUUUGCUACUCGCAAGUCUCUCUCAAUGCAUUAUGAGAGAGCUCUACUUGACCUCGCAAGUCUUUCUUUAUGCCCUAUCGCUAUUGAUUUUGCUACUCGC
rnacentral:lncRNA from 1 species